rnacentral:rRNA from 1 species
GAUGAACGCUGGCGGCGUGCCUAAUACAUGCAAGUCGAGCGAACAGAUGAGGAGCUUGCUCCUCUGACGUUAGCGGCGGACGGGUGAGUAACACGUGGAUAACCUACCUAUAAGACUGGGAUAACUUCGGGAAACCGGAGCUAAUACCGGAUAAUAUAUUGAACCGCAUGGUUCAAUAGUGAAAGACGGUUUUGCUGUCACUUAUAGAUGGAUCCGCGCCGCAUUAGCUAGUUGGUAAGGUAACGGCUUACCAAGGCAACGAUGCGUAGCCGACCUGAGAGGGUGAUCGGCCACACUGGAACUGGGACACGGUCCAGACUCCUACGGGGGGCAGCAGUAGGGAAUCUUCCGCAAUGGGCGAAAGCCUGACGGAGCAACGCCGCGUGAGUGAUGAAGGUCUUCGGAUCGUAAAACUCUGUUAUUAGGGAAGAACAAAUGUGUAAGUAACUAUGCACGUCUUGACGGUACCUAAUCAGAAAGCCACGGCUAACUACGUG